UCAUGUUGUUGUAUUAUUAUAUCAUCCUCCCCCAGUGUUCGAAUGCGAAGAAUGCAAACUUGAACACUGGAAGUCUUGCUCUUUUGAAGAUUCACUAGUGAAUGGUUGGAUAAUCUUUGGUUCGAUAGGAAACCUCGUUUCCCAUUAGGAACUUUACUACAGAUCCAAAAAUUACCUAACCACUCCCUAGUGACUUGCACUCAUGAACGGUCGGGUAACCUUUGGCUAGAUAACAAGCUUUGUUUCUCGUUAAGAACUUCUCUAUCGAGCAAAAGACUAUCUAACCGUUCUGUGUUGUCUCGUUGCUUGUAUGCGUUGUCAUUUAAAGGUCUUACUUCUACUGACGAAGCUUCCUUAGUAGCAUGCUUUCCAGUGCUGCCUCGUUAAAAACCUUGCCAGAAAAAUCCAAUUGGGACAAAAACUGGACGAAGAGAAAAAGAGUGCAGCACAUACUUUCAGUAUAGGCAAUGCUCAUUAGCAAUAGUACCUUUUGAGGUGUGCCACAUUUCAGUUGCUCGGAAACUUUACUCCAUCUUGAUUUUCCAAUUCGUAUGUAUCACACCUCCUUUUUCAACCCGAAAGGGGUAUAAGGGAGUUUUUCCAAUUUAAGUGACAUAAUCGAAAUGAGAUUAUUUUAUUUAUUCAGAGUCGCCACUUGGAAUAGUUUAUGGUGUCCCAAGUCACCGGUUUAUUUUAAAUCCCAAAUCAAGGAAAUUGACUCUUAUUUAUGGUCCACAAAUACAGAAGAUCGGGUAAGGAAUUCUAUUAACUCGGGAGAAGAUGUUAGGCAUUCCCAGGUUCCGUGGUUUUAGCACGGUCGCUCAACUAUUAAUAAUUGGCCUUAUUAUCUGAUUUAUCACAUAUUUUAAACCUAUUGUGCAUUUUUAACUUUAUAACCGCUUUUAUUUAUUUAUGGAUUUAUUUCUGGAACAAGCCACAAUUGUCGUACACUUGUCGUUUUGGUACACAUUACAAACCGUGUCUCAUGAAAUGCACCCGCGAUUUACAACAUGUUCAUUUUUAUUAUUAUUCAAAAUUAUAGUCGGGUCACAUGAAAUGCACACCCAAAUUUGAGAAUUACGUAUCACAACUACAUCACGGAAAUCGUACCCGUAGUUAUGAUGAUUUAUUAUAACGCGCCUAAAGCAAACUACGAAAGUUCAAGGUUAUUCUUAAAACUAAUUUGAGAUUUAAUGUGAGGCUGUGAAUUAGGGAUAUGAAAUAUAGAAAAAUGAGUCAACUUAACAGAGCAUCAAAUCCAUUCACAUCAUCAUUUUUUGUAAAUUGCUCAAAUCUAAUUCCCACAUCAUUAGCGAACAGUGUUAAACAAAUAGUAAUUCAAGCUAUGACUCAAUUGAAUAAAAUGACAGGGUAAAAUAAAUAAUUCAAAACUUAAACGGCAAGCACAUCCGAUGUAAAACCCAGAACGUCAUUCCAACAUUUACUUUAAUGUCAUUUUUAACCCAAACCACUAUUUUUGCUUUAAUCCAUUCCCGAAUCAACUCAUGAACCAUAAAUUAUUUUAGGCAUCUUGUAUCUUAAUUCCAAAUUCAUCACUCCAAUGUACUAAAAUCAAAUGAGAGCACUACAAAGGCAAACAAGGAAAAUUAAAUUAAAAGUUAUGACAAAACUCAAUGCAGAUUCCUUCAAACCACAAGCACUAAAUAGAACACAAAGAUAUCAUGUAUUAAUUAAAGAAAGGAGUGGGAAAAGGACCUCAAAGAGAGCUUUGUCAAUUUAGCAAUGUUGUAUGAAUAGAAACCCGGGCAGAAAAAAUCCUUGGACGCGACGACCUCGACGAACUCAAACUCGACCGUAACGAACCUCAAACCGGCAACCAAAAUCAGCGGACUUCUAAACCUCAAGCAAAUACCAUGAUUUUUAAUACCAAAACCGAAAUCAAAAUGAAGAAGUAGAAGCUCUUUUUAUAUAUAUUUUUUGUAAUUUUAAGCAAACUAAAAUCUGAGUCUGCAACUACAGAAUAUCUUUUGUUUUUGAUCCCCUGUUUUCCCUUCUUUUCUCGUACUCUCUAUCCCUGUUUUGCUACCAUUCGUUACUGCUCUCUCACGCCGUUGCUGCUAGUUUCCGGAAGCGGGUGGUUUUCAGUGGAGGUGUUAGGUUGCUGUGAGGUGAGGAAGAAAGAGAUGGGGUGUAUUGGAGAUAUGGUUGGUGGUUGGAGGGAGGUCGUGUGUGGCUGGUGAGGGGUCAUGUCGAUGGCUGUGUUGUGUCUGUAGAAGAAGAAGGGUCAUUGGUUAUGAGAUGAAGAGGCAGGAAUGGAUCGGAGGGGUCCUCAAGGUUAGAGAUCGCCACUGUUGAUGAAGCUUCCAGUCCCUUCUUUGGCUGCUUAGGUCUUAGUCCUUUUCUUAGGUUGUGAAAAUGUG
rnacentral:lncRNA from 1 species